UACGUAGGGAGCAAGCGUUGUCCGGAAUCAUUGGGCGUAAAGCGCGCGUAGGCGGCCCGAUAAGUCCGUUGUGAAAGUCAAAGGCUCAACCUUUGAAUGCCGAUGGAUACUGUCGGGCUAGAGUCCGGAAGAGGCGAGUGGAAUUCCUGGUGUAGCGGUGGAAUGCGCAGAUAUCAGGAGGAACACCGGUGGCGAAGGCGGCUCUGGGCAGUGACUGACGCUGAGG
rnacentral:rRNA from 1 species